UACGGAAGGCAGCAGUGGGGAAUAUUGCACAAUGGGCGAAAGCCUGAUGCAGCUAUGCCGCGUGUAUGAAGAAGGCCUUAGGGUUGUAAAGUACUUUCAUCGGGGAGGAAAAACAAAACUAAUAAUUUUAUUUCUUGACGUUACCCGAAAAAGAAGCACCGGCUAACUCCGUGCCAGCAGCCGCGGUAAUACGGAGGGUGCUAGCGUUAAUCAGAAUUACUGGGCGUAAAGAGCACGUAGGUGGUUUUUUAAGUCAGAUGUGGAAUCCCUGGGCUUAACCUAGGAACUGCAUUUUGAAACUGAAAUACUAGAGUAUCGUAGAGGGAGGUAGAAUUCUAGGUGUAGCGGUGAAAUGCGUAGAUAUCUGGAGGAAUACCUGUGGCGAAAGCGGCCUCCUAAACGAAUACUGACACUGAGGUGCGAAAGCGUGGGGAGCAAACAGGGAUUAGAUACC
rnacentral:rRNA from 1 species